rnacentral:rRNA from 1 species
UGGGCAACCUGCCCCUCUCUCUGGGAUAACCCCGGGAAACCGGAGCUAAUACCGGAUACUCCGGCUGGAUCGCAUGGUCUAGCCGGGAAAGGUCCGCCGGAGAGGGAUGGGCCCGCGGCCUAUCAGCUUGUUGGUGGGGUGAUGGCCCACCAAGGCGACGACGGGUAGCCGGCCUGAGAGGGUGACCGGCCACACUGGGACUGAGACACGGCCCAGACUCCUACGGGAGGCA